UCCAAAGCUUUGUUCUCAAUUUUUUUAGAUUCAAAUAAACUUAAGAGAGUGUAUAACAGAUGCGUUGACAAGGCUAGAGUAGUAGAUUAAGCUUAACUAGUUUCUUCUAUCAUCUUCUCAGGUUUCUUUGAUACUAUUAUUACUAUAUCAUUAAUUCAUGCAAAUUUUAAUAUUCUAACUGAAAAGAAAAAAAGGUGACUAAAUUCACAUUCUUUAGUUGUGGAACCUUUUUUUAUCUUUAGUUUUUGUCAACAUUUCACAUCCUCUUUAUAAAAAAAGAAGCACUUAUUUCUAAAGCGGUGGAAAAAGACAGGACUAAAACUUUCGGUUAAAGAUGUCUUCCCUUCGAUUCUGCUUAUCUUAUCUGAUUUGACCCAUCAGAUCUAUGCUUAGUUUCGAUUAUUCAAUUUUUUAAACCAAAGCACUGUUUAGUGAUGAAGUUGUCGCAGCAAGCGAUCAACUGCUUGUAUUAGCUAGAUUGAAUUAUAGUUUGAUCGAAGCAGGAUGGUUUUCGUAAACAAUCUGGAUAGGGACAUGUCUUUAGCCAUGCCUUCUUGUCUUGAUGACCCAUCAGAUCUUGUCCGGACAAGUGGCUGUCUCACGCUCCUGGCGACACUUUGUGAUCAAGCAGAGUCUCUCCAAGAACUUGUGUUUGAAGUUGUCCACCAGCUAACUAGCGUUCCGUAUACUAGAAACAAGUAAUGAAGAAUCCCUAGGGCCAAGCAGCAGUCUCAUGGAGGAUAAGUAUUAUGGUGGAUUUUAAUUAAAAGGCUACCUGAAAGAGAGCACAUGGCUCCUUUCAAAAGCUGUAUUAUGUUGCUCUUUUUCGAUUUUAAUUACUUUUGAGUAUUAUGGUGGAUUUUAAUUAAAAAGGUCACAUCUUUUUUAAUGUUGGGUUUUGCAUUUGCAGGGAUUAAGUACAGUUUCUCCAAGAACCGGCGCUUGAAGUUCUUCAACAUCCUAACUAGCGUGGAUCGUAUAAUAGAACCAAGCAGUGAUAUAAAUGAAGCUGGGUCAAGCAGCAGUCUCAUUGAUGAUACAACAAGGCUACUAGAGAGAGAGAUCACAAGGUUUAUGCGUGUUAUUGGCUAAAAGAUGCACAUCCUCUCAUAUCAAAAGCUUUAUUGAAGAUGCCAUUAUGGCUUCUAGCACUGACAAUUUCCCAGCUGAGAGCAUCUUGAAGACACUCUACGAAAGAGAUAGAAUCGGUGACACCCCAACAUUCAGCGAUUAAACUAAUGUCAAAGUCAUAAAGCAUACAUGGGUCUACAUGCCUUAAUGCUUUAUGACUUUGACAUUAGUUUUUGCAGUGUGUCGCAUGUGGAAGUGAUGGGAAGAUCACUAGCAAAAUCGUUUCAGGUGGCGGAUCCGGAUGACUCAGGAAAGUUCGGGUUGAAGGUGCUGAGUUACAGUGAUCCGCAAGAAACGGAUGAGAAGGAAGCAGAGGCGGGGCAAAGUACGUUUAGGCCAAUGAGAAACCUCGAACAGCUCUUGAAAUUUCUGCACCGGCGUCUUGCAGACGUCAAGUAUGUGUGGCCUGAAUCAGAUUCAGAUGUGGAGGUUUAGAGUAUCUGAAUGGAGUGGGAGGUUUUUCUAUUAAUUGUGGCUUUGCUUCUGUUGUUAAAGAAUCAGAGAGGUGCAUGAGCGGUUUUUGAAAGCUUCUUCUCCAGCCAUUUUGGCCCUAGGCUCUCUCUCCUUCCCUUGCUGUGUGUUGUAGAGGUUGCCAGUGUUGCGAAAUAAUAACUUACUAGGUGAUAAUCCGCGCCCUGCGCGGAGUGAGAUUAUUUAAGAAACGAUCAUAUUUUAUGGAAAGAAAGAAUGAAUUUUGAAGCCAUAAAAAAAUUAAAAAUCACAGGAAUAUUUUUAUUUAUUUGUAAA